GUCCUCGCAAAAUCGAGGGCCGGGUUUAGCAGCCUGAAUGAAUCUAGGCGCACAAGCGCCAACCACCUAAGCGGCGCUUUUUUU
rnacentral:sRNA from 1 species